rnacentral:rRNA from 1 species
CAUGUCUAAGUAUAAGCAAUUAUACCGCGAAACUGCGAAUGGCUCAUUAUAUAAGUUAUCGUUUAUUUGAUAGCACAUUACUACAUGGAUAACUGUGGUAAUUCUAGAGCUAAUACAUGCUAAAAAUCCCGACUUCGGAAGGGAUGUAUUUAUUAGAUUAAAAGCCAACGCCCUUCGGGGCUUCCUGGUGAUUCAUGAUAACUUUUCGAAUCGCAUGGCCUUGCGCCGGCGAUGGUUCAUUCAAAUUUCUUCCCUAUCAACUUUCGAUGCGAAGGUCUUGUCUUCGCAUGGUUGCAACGGGUAACGGAGGGUUAGGGCUCGACCCCGGAGAAGGAGCCUGAGAAACGGCUACUACAUCCAAGGAAGGCAGCAGGCGCGCAAAUUACCCAAUCCCGACACGGGGAGGUAGUGACAAUAAAUACUGAUACAGGGCUCUUUUGGGUCUUGUAAUCGGAAUGAGUACAAUUUAAAUCCCUUAACGAGGAACAAU